rnacentral:lncRNA from 1 species
UCACCGUUUAAAGAUUUCAACAUCAUUGUCAUAUCUGAAUCUGAAUAUGGUGGCUUUAGCUCUUCAGACAGAGGAGAUUUUGUUUCUUUAUUUUGCCUUUCCAUUUUUUUGUAGUUUUAUUUUGUUGUUGUUGAAAUCCUCAAAGUUUAUCCCAGUAAUAGAAACUCAAAUAACCUAAAACUUUCUUGCUAACAUUUCUGUAAACAAAUAGUUAUUAUUUAGAUUAAAAAUAAGAAAAAUAAAAGAUUACAUAUUGUCUUUACGUAUUUUUUCUUCAAUUGUCUUUUUUUUCUACAAUUCCUUUUUUUCUUUAUGUAGAAUCAAGUUUUGGGCAUUUAGGUGCUAUAAUAACAGACAAAAAGUGAUAUUAAUAAUAGACAAAAACUUUACAAAGUGAGUAACAGGCAGAUUAAUAAAAUACAAAUCCAGAAGGCUGAGAUGAAUAACACUCUUUUACACAUGCAUACAUACACACACAUACACAUACACACACACACAAAAUUAGGUUUAGGUGUUUAGUGUGGGAAUUUGUGUUAGUAUGACUAAAAAUUGACUAUCUUUAAUGUUUGUUGUAGCUAUAUGUGCCAUUUUCUUCAAAUUCCUCUAGUGUCCUUGUUUCUGUUCUCUCUUGACCUUAAUCUUACUUAAGUACUUUUCUUGCAGGCUGUAUCUACAUCGCUUUCAGCUGUAACCCACUGUUAUAGUAGAUACUCAAUGGCAUGAUAGUAAGGUGUGAGGAAGAAAAAAAGUUCUACAAUGGCUUGCAUUCUUGGAAGGUAAAGGGAUAAGAAGCUGUGAAGGUUACGUAAUGGAGAUGAAAGGCAAGCUACAGGAAGUGAAAUUGGCAAUUCUUCUUGGUCCCUGUUUGGGAAAAUGUGAAUCUCAUCCUCUCAGUUUCUAGUUUGACAGACUAUAAGAGGAGUCUAUCAAGAAACCAUGUACAGAAAUAUCAAGUAAAAUAUAUCAUAAAAAAGGGACUCUGAGAACCUAGUGACCUGAAAAAAUGUUACUUAUGAAACUAAUGACCUAAGAAUGCCUUUAAAUCGAAGAGCAUCUAGUACAGCAAAGAGACCUUCAAAAUGGGCAUGUAAGCACUGAUCCAGAUAGAAGAUUAAAUAGCACGAUAUAUUAAAAAGCAUAAGAGUUAGAGACGAAUGCUGAAAGACCAUGAAAAAUCUCAGAGACAAGUCAUUUCUGGGACAAUAAAUAGCGGAAGACAGCAUUUAACAAUGAAUUAAGGGAAAUUCCAUUCUUUCCUGUAUUUCAGCACUGCGGAAGUCUACGAAGCAGUUAAUGUUAAGAAAUACCAUUGACUAAAAAAAAAAAAAUGAUUUUCUGCAUUGGAUGUUAAAAGAUAUGAAGCAAGAAAUUGACCAUUCAGUGGAACAAUGUGAAUCCUAAAUUAUCUAAAUAAAAACAAGAGGAUCAGUUAAUUCAGAAAAAAGAAUUGUAUAAAUUCUGGAACUCGGUAGAUAUAUUCUCCUUAACAAAUUCUGGCAAAGAAUUCUCCCAAUCACUUAUUCAUUAGGGAUUGAGAAUUGACACUAGAAACAGAUAACUUGUGCUUAAUAUUGUGCUUAAGCUUUAAGCAUAGAAAAUUUCCUUGAUGCAAGGGGGUUACUGUGUCACCUCAAGUUAAAAGGCAAUUUAGGAAGUGAUAUGUAACUAGCAGUUUGAAAGUAUUCUAAAUAUUACUUGCUAACAAAAUUCACUCUCUACAGAAGGGACAUACCUAACAAAGAAUACAUCUUGCAGAUUGCUACAUAAAGAGUAAGUACAUUGACAAAUAUUAUGUACUUAAAAUAUAUACAGCUCUGUACUUAGCAUGCCACAUAGAAUUCCUUAAUAUUCCUCUUAACAGCUGUACAAGUUAACUUGACUUUUAUACGCAUUAUACACAUGAAAAAAAUGAGAUGAGAAAGGCCAAAUAAAAUGAAUGAAUGAAUGAAUGAGUUUUUAAAAUUUAUUUUGACAUGAGAGCCAAUCCUAUCAGCCUUGCUGAUUUCUUCAAAAUACUUGCAAAUAAGUUGCUAUAAUAUAAAAACAUCUUCUUAUUGUUUCUCUCUCCUUAAGGAUUUCUCUGAGACAUUUCUAAUAUUUAAAUCUUUUUUCCCAUAGGUUGUCUUUCACGGUACUUUGUAUACACUACUUUGGGUUCAUAUGCCUCAAGUGAAAAAUUGGUCUAAUAACAUUAAUACCUCUGUCACAACCCCAUUGCACAUGAUCAGUUCUAAUAAUGGGUUUUAAAGUAAUUUUGUUUUAUUUUAAAUUACUAUUCAGAUAUCAGUCACUAUGACAUCAGACUUUUUACUCUCUGUGAUAGUUAUAUAUCAACUUAGCUGGAGUAUAGUAUCAAGUUAUUCAAUAAAACACUAAUCUAGGUGUCACUGUGAAGGGAUUUUGUAGAUAUGAUUAACAUCUACAUUUAGUUGACACUAAGUAAAGGAGAUUUUCCUUGAUAAUGUGGUCAAGCCUCAUCCAAUCAAUUGAAAGGCCUGAGCUUUUCUAGAGGAAGAAGUAAUUUUAUCUCAGGACUCCAGCAUUAGCUACUGCUGGACAAUCCCAGCAUCCCAACCUGCCCAACAGAUUUUAGACUAGACUUACCACCUCAUAUGAGCACAUAGCAGAUUCCCAGAAAUCAAUCUAUCUACCUAUGUAUCUAUCAAUCUAUCAUCUCUCUCCUACUGCUUCUGUUUCUGUAGAUGACACUGACAGAUGUGAAUAUUCACAUAAAAGCUGUCAAUAUGCAUGUUCCUUCCUACUACUUGUACCAAUUAAGCAAAGAGUGUAACGGAUGCAUAUUUUUCUAAAGAAUUUCUGUAUGUGUUCUCCGAUUAUUGGUCAGAAAUAAAAAUAUGUUUAUAAUGCAAAAUUCAUAAAAUGUGUAUAAAUGAUAAUGUAUAUGCCUAUAUAAGUGUGUGUUUUUCUGUGUAUACAUAUAUGUAUAUAUGAGUGUGUGUGUAUGUGUGUGCAUUUUUUUGUAACUGAUACUGUGGCCUUUUAUAUCUACCAAAAUCCAGGACUAGUUUAGAAAAGAAAUUACAGCAGCAUUCUAAAAUUUACUUGUUUGAUAUAAAUAUAUUUUUGUAACUUUUUUUGCCUGACAUUUGUGCUGUAAAUCAAAAGUACUUUUGUGAAAGCAAUUUUUUUAAACAAUCUUCUCUGAAAUUGUGUAGGAGGAAGUGAAUCGCUACCACUCAAUCCUGACAUUAAUUCAACAGACACAUAUUUUGAUUUCUGAAGAAUUAUGGAAACAUUCUUUCAGAAGAGAACAAUGAAAGAUAGCAUUCUGUGUUUAGCACAUUUCCCCUUUCCAAGUGGCAGUGGAGCGUUGUAACAGCAAAGUAAAUUGCUUCUUAUUUCUAUGUGCUUUUUAAAACUGUGACACUGACUGAGCUGAACCACCAAGACCACAUCUGUACACAGCUAAAUAAAAGGUUUUACAUGAUGGCAAAACUGGGCAGAAUUAAUUUGUCCUUGGAUGUACUGAUGAUUGCAAUGCUUACACCACUGCUUUAUACACAGUAGGGUAACACUCAGAGUACUAUCAUGAAAUUCAG